GCCUAACGGCUGAACUGGCAACUUGGAUGAAUGGACCGGCUACCCCCUUGAAAAAUAGGUAAGAGGUAAGUGCAGGAGAUCCUUUUAAGGAGUAAAGUUCUAAAUAUAUGAUUGAUAAUGACAGUAUAUAUAUUAUGUCUUGACCAAUUACGUGCCAGCAGUCGCGGCAAUACGUAUGAGACUAGUGUUAUUCAUCUUAAAUAGGUUUAAAGGGUACCCAGACGGCAAAUGUCACCUUUAAAAGGUUAUUAUUUUGCUAGAGUUUUAUGUGAAGAGGCCGUACUCGUGAGUGGAGAGAUUAAAUUCUGUGAUACCUAGGGGACGGAUAAAGGCGAAGGCAGCCUCUUAUGUAGAAACUGACGUUGAAGGACGAAGGCAUUGCGGCACGAACAGGAUUAGGUACCCAAGUAGUCUUUGCAGACAAUGAUGAAUGCCAUAGGUAGGUUAUUACUUAGUCUAUAAAUGAAAGUGUAAGC
rnacentral:rRNA from 1 species